rnacentral:rRNA from 1 species
AUUGAACGCUGGCGGCAGGCCUAACACAUGCAAGUCGGACGGUAGCACAGGGGAGCUUGCUCCUCGGGUGACGAGUGGCGGACGGGUGAGUAAUGUCUGGGGAUCUGCCCGAUAGAGGGGGAUAACCACUGGAAACGGUGGCUAAUACCGCAUAACGUCGCAAGACCAAAGAGGGGGACCCUCGGGCCUCUCACUAUCGGAUGAACCCAGAUGGGAUUAGCUAGUAGGCGGGGUAACGGCCCACCUAGGCGACGAUCCCUAGCUGGUCUGAGAGGAUGACCAGCCAAACUGGAACUGAGACACGGUCCAGACUCCGACGGGAGGCAGCAGUGGGGAAUAUUGCACAAUGGGCGCAAGCCUGAUGCAGCCAUGCCGCGUGUAUGAAGAAGGCCCUCGGGUUGUAAAGUACUUUCAGCGGGGAGGAAGGCGAUGUGGUUAAUAACCGCGUCGAUUGACGUUACCCGCAGAAGAAGCACCGGCUAACUCCGUGCCAGCCGCCGCAGUAA